rnacentral:rRNA from 1 species
CAAUAGCGUAUAUUAAAGUUGUUGCGGUUAAAAAAAGCUCGUAGUUGGAUUUCUGCUGAGGACGACCGGUCCGCCCUCUGGGGUGAGUAUCUGGUUUCGGGCCUGGGGCAUCUUCUUGGUGAACGUAUCUGCACUUGACUGUGUGGGUGCGGUACCCCAGGACUUUUUACUUUGAGGAAAUUAGAGUGUUUCAAGCAGGCAUACGCCUUGAAUACAUUAGCAUGGAAUAAUAAGAUAGGACCUCGGUUCUAUUUUGUUGGUUUCUAGAGCUGAGGUAAUGAUUAAUAGGGAUAGUUGGGGGGCAUUCGUAUUUAACUGUCAGAGGUGAAAUU